rnacentral:rRNA from 1 species
GUAGUCCACGCCGUAAACGAUGCACACUGAGCGCCGGAGUCUCUGACGACGUCGGCGCUGGAGUAAAAACGUUAAGUGUGCCGCCUGGGGAGUACGGCCGCAAGGCUAAAACUCAAAGGAAUUGACGGGGGCUCACACAAGCGGUGGAGCAUGUGGCUUAAUUCGAAGCAACGCGAAGAACCUUACCCGGGUUUGACAUGCAUGGAUGUUCCUUGGGGAUAACUCGAGGUUACUGCCCGCAAGGGUGAAACAUGCACAGGUGUUGCAUGGCUGUCGUCAGCUCGUGCUGUGAAGUGUCAGGUUAAGUCCUUCAACGAGCGAAACCCCUAUUGCUAGUUGCCAGCGGGUCAUGCCGGGGACUCUAGCAAGACUGCCGGCGUAAGCCGGA